rnacentral:misc_RNA from 1 species
GUUUAGGGAAAUUCUAAAGAUUCAGAAGUUUCGUAGGCUCGUAUCUUACACUGGGUUUUACUGCUUUGUUGCUGUCUUAAGCUAUGCUUAUACAAGCAACACAACUAGAGCUGGGUAUUCUAGAGCUGAUCAAUUUUAUGCAUCUUACCCUGCUGGAACUGAACUUUUAACGGAUACUGCUAAGUUAUAUAAAGCUGCACUUGGCAAUUGCUUUGAAUCAGAGGAGUGGGGUCCAAUAGAGUUCUGCAUCAUGGCAAAGCACUUUGAUCGCCAAGGAAAAUCCCCAUAUGCCUAUCAUGCUCAAUAUAUGGCACACCUUCUUUCUCAUGGACAACUUGAUGGAAGCGGCUAGAAUGGAAUGAUACUUGGCUACUAGGUGAAUGAAUGGGUGGAGAAAAAUACAAAAUUAAACUCAUGGCAAUUUGAUGCUAUUAGAUGAUGAAAGACCAUUAGAAGCUUUAUUUCGCGCGAUAGAAGGAAUGCUUACAACACUUUUUCUUAACAGUGUCAUGUAGCAUUGCACCAUCCUUUGGACAAUUGAACCACUCGAGUUUGUCAGUAUCAAUAUUUGAACUAUUACUUUCUUGAAACAUGAUAUUUUGACCUUAGAGCACACCUUGAUAGUGCAGAGUAACUGCAACUAGAUGCUAUGCAAAUACUUGUGGAGGAAUUUUUUGCUUGUAUGUGAGAUUAUACUGUAAUUU